rfam:Myotis lucifugus cont2.21626, whole genome shotgun sequence.
GGUGGUUCUCGGGUGAUGCACCCCAGAAUCGGGUUCCCUCCUCUCUGGUUCCAGGUGUGUCACCACAGCUCAGCA